UACGGGGGGAGCAAGCGUUGUCCGGAUUGACUGGGCGUAAAGCGCACGCAGGCGGUUGCGCGCGUGGGGUGUGAAAUCUGGCCGCUUAACGGCCAGGCGCCAUCCCAUACGGCGCGACUGGAGUGAUGCAGAGGUCGAUGGAAUUGCCGGUGUAGUGGGUGUAAAUGCGUAGAGAUCGGGCAGGAACACCCAGGGGGAAACCAGUCGACUGGGCAUCUACUGAGCUGAGGUGCGAGAGCGUCGGGGAGCGAACCGG
rnacentral:rRNA from 1 species